GGGUCAGUAGGUUGGUCGUGCCACCGGUACGUACUGGUCUCACUGAUUCCUCCUUCCUGAAGAACCGUAAUGCCAUUAAUUUGGUAUUGCGGGGAAACAGGACUGUUACUUUGAAAAAAUUAGAGUGUUUAAAGCAAGCUAGCGCUUGAAUACAUUAGCAUGGAAUAAUGAAAUAGGACGAUCGAUCCUAUUUUGUUGGUUUCUAGGAUUGACGUA
rnacentral:rRNA from 1 species